UGAUGUUGCCAUACCACCUGGAACUGCGAUUUCAUUUGAUUACAAAAGCAAAGCAUGGUUGGGCCUGGUCAUUACUGUAUGGGAGACUCCAUGGAACACCUAGGAACUGCAGAAA
rnacentral:rRNA from 1 species